rnacentral:rRNA from 1 species
AACGAACGCUGGCGGCAGGCCUAACACAUGCAAGUCGAGCGCCCCGCCAGGGGAGCGGCUGCCUGGUGAGUAACGCGUGGUAUUAUUCCCUUUUCUACUUAAUAGUCUCGUUAUACUUGUGUUAAUACCGUAUACGCCCUUUUGUGGAAAGAUUUAUCGGCUAAGGAUUAGCCCGCGUUUGAUUAUGUAGUUGGUUGUGUAAUGGCCUACCAUGCCGACGAUCCAUAGAUGGUUUGAGAGGAUGAUCAGCCACACUGGGACUGAGACACGGCCCAGACUCCUACGGGAGGAAGCAGUGGGGAAUCUUAGAAAAUGGGGGGAACCCUGAUAAAGCCAUGACGGGUGAGUGAUGAAGGCCUUAGGGUUGUAAAGCACUAUCAGCUGGGAAGAUAAUGACGGUAACAGAAGAAGAAGCACCGGCUAACUCCGUG